rnacentral:Y_RNA from 1 species
GGCUGGUUGGACUGCAGUGGUGUUUACAACCAACUGAUCAUAAUCAGUUACAGAUUACUUUGUUAUUUCUCCACUCCCACUGCUUUACCUGACUAGCCUUAA